UAAGCACUAACUGUGUGCCAGAGAGCAGUGAGAACCGAAGACACAGUAGCUUCUAUCAAGGCCCUCAUCGCCUGGUGGGAGACUGAGAAGGAAAGAAGGCAAUGAUGACAAGAUCUCAGCUGAGAUGUCAUCUCCUCAAAGAUUUGCAUGGCUGUAGGCUUUGCCACCAGGAGAUAGUGACCCAACAAACAAGCUUGUAUGGGAGCCAGAUCAGCAGAAAGGCCUGAAGGUUCUCCCCACAUACUCCUGUUCCCACUCCCCUUUUCCUUUUGUGACUUAUCCCCAAUAAACCUCUAACACUGCUAACUCCAU
rnacentral:lncRNA from 1 species